rnacentral:ncRNA from 1 species
CUUUUUCCUUCGAGCAAUAUCUACUCCAUAAAGAUCCAUCAGUCGAACAGUAUAUUUCAAAUUACUGCGUAUUACUCCAAAUUGCUUCUCUAGUUGUGGCCAACUAACACCUGACUUCUUUAAACGAUAAAUUUCUAGUGAAUCGGUUACACUAAACUAGACAGAAUUUAUA